CCAGACUCCUACGGGAGGCAGCAGUCGAGAAUCAUUCACAAUGGGGGAAACCCUGAUCCAGCGACGCCGCGUGAGUGAAGAAGUAUUUCGGUAUGUAAAGCUCUAUCAGCAGGGAAGAAAGAAAUGACGGUACCUGACUAAGAAGCCCCGGCUAACUACGUGCCAGCAGCCGCGGUAAUACGUAGGGGGCAAGCGUUAUCCGGAUUUACUGGGUGUAAAGGGAGCGUAGACGGCGAUGCAAGUCUGAAGUGAAAGGCGGGGGCCCAACCCCCGGACUGCUUUGGAAACUGUAUGGCUGGAGUGCAGGAGAGGUAAGUGGAAUUCCUAGUGUAGCGGUGAAAUGCGUAGAUAUUAGGAGGAACACCAGUGGCGAAGGCGGCUUACUGGACUGUAACUGACGUUGAGGCUCGAAAGCGUGGGGAGCAAACAGGAUUAGAUACCCCAGUA
rnacentral:rRNA from 1 species